rnacentral:tRNA from 1 species
AGGGGUGUAGCUCAGUGGAAGAGUGUUUGCCUAGUGUGUGCAAGUCCCUGAGCUCCAUCCUCAGCACCAAAA